GUGUGGCUCAGUUGUACAGUGCUUGCCUGACAUGCAUCAGGCCCUGGGUUCAAUUCCCAGUAC
rnacentral:tRNA from 1 species